rnacentral:antisense_RNA from 1 species
CCCUAUGGUGGGGGUUGGGUGGGAGCCCCUCGGGGCUGCCGGUACCUGGUCCGGUCUGCUAACCCGCCCCACCCCCACCACCCGC